rnacentral:rRNA from 1 species
UGACAUACCUAUACGUUGCCUCGGCGGAUCAGCCCGCGCCCCGUAAAAAGGGACGGCCCGCCCGAGGACCCCUAAACUCUGUUUUUAGUGGAACUUCUGAGUAAAACAAACAAAUAAAUCAAAACUUUCAACAACGGAUCUCUUGGUUCUGGCAUCGAUGAAGAACGCAGCAAAAUGCGAUAAGUAAUGUGAAUUGCAGAAUUCAGUGAAUCAUCGAAUCUUUGAACGCACAUUGCGCCCGCCAGUAUUCUGGCGGGCAUGCCUGUUCGAGCGUCAUUUCAACCCUCAAGCUCAGCUUGGUGUUGGGACUCGCGGUAACCCGCGUUCCCCAAAUCGAUUGGCGGUCACGUCGAGCUUCCAUAGCGUAGUAAUCAUACACCUCGUUACUGGUAAUCGUCGCGGCCACGCCGUAAAACCCCAACUUCUGAAUGUUGACCUCGGAUCAGGUAGGAAUACCCGCUGAACUUAAGCAUAUCAAU